UACGUAGGCAGCAAGCGUUGUUCGGAGUUACUGGGCGUAAAGGGUGUGUAGGCGGUUCUUUAAGUUUGCUGUGAAAUCUCCCGGCUUAACCGGGAGGGUGCGGUGAAUACUGAGGGACUAGAGUACGGGAGAGGAAAGUGGAAUUCCUGGUGUAGCGGUGAAAUGCGUAGAUAUCAGGAGGAACACCGGUGGUGUAGACGGCUUUCUGGACCGUAACUGACGCUGAGACACGAAAGCGUGGGGAGCAAACAGG
rnacentral:rRNA from 1 species